UACGAAGGGGGCUAGCGUUGUUCGGAAUUACUGGGCGUAAAGCGCACGUAGGCGGCUAUUUAAGUCAGGGGUGAAAUCCCGGGGCUCAACUCCGGAACUGCCUUUGAUACUGGGUAUCUAGAGUCCAGAAGAGGUGAGUGGAAUUCCGAGUGUAGAGGUGAAAUUCGUAGAUAUUCGGAAGGACACCAGUGGCGAAGGCGACUCACUGGACAGGUAUUGACGCUGAGGUGCGAAAGCGUGGGGAGCAAACAGG
rnacentral:rRNA from 1 species